ensembl:snRNA U6 U6 spliceosomal RNA
GUGCCCACUUUGGCAACGCACAUACUAAAAUUGGAACAAUGCAGAGAUUAGCCUGGCCUCUGCAAGAAUGACACGUAAAUUCGUGAACCGUUCCAUAAUUUU